CCAUGGGUUACACAGCCUGGGCUGCAGGUUCUUCUCUCAGUUACCAGGUUAACCAAACACCUGCAGCCCUGUACAAGAACCAGGGAAGGAUACCUGUUUGGGAAAGAUGGAUAUCCUGAGGCUGGAUUUGAUAUAGAAGGAGAUGCUAAUGCAGGUGGUACCAGCACCUUAACCA